rnacentral:misc_RNA from 1 species
CAACAGUGAUCUUUGUGUUUUCAACUGCAAAAUAUUACAGGGUUUUGUUGUAUGUGAGGUGAAGUUGGUGAAAAUACUAGCUUUUUGGAGGAUUGGGUGUUUAGUUUUUUGAGGUUUUCUUGAUCUGAUUUGUGUUUUUGGGUGGUUUGGUGAAGUGGGUAGGACUAGUUUUAAUGCACAUAUUGUAAAGAUUCUAGCUUUUUGCUGAAUUGGGUAUUUGGGGGUUUCUUGAUCUGGUUUGUUUGUUUGGGUUGUUUGGUGAAGUGGGGUAAGACUAUUUUUAAUGCCCAUGGUGUAAAGAUUCUAGAUUUUUGCUGAAUUGGGUGUUUGGGUAUUUGUGUAUUUCUUGGUUUGUUUUGUUUAAGUGGUUGGUUAAUUGGGUAUGUGAUUGAAUCUUCUUAUCUGGUAUCUUUGUAGAAGAAUUGUUUAUUGGAGUGUAGCUGUUUCUUAGAGCUUAGCUUGAAUUCCUUGUGAAAAUUGGAGUUCUGAACUAUUGGAAGACUUGGUUAUUGGGUUGUGUUCAAUUGUUUAGCUGAAGUCUGAAAGAAUCUGGACUGUGUACUUAUUUUGAUUGUUGAAUGAGGUAGUUUCCACUUUGACCCUGUUGGAACUGGAAGAAAAAGUUGACUCUUCACCACGUCGAUUGUGGAGGUUGAUGCUGCCUGAUUAAUGCUUAUCUGAACCAAAUGUUCCUGUUUAUUGGUUUGUGACUCUGACUGGACUUCUUGACUUGACUUGGAAAGGAGGAGGCUUGGCUUGUAUCUUGUUUAUUGUGACUACUAAAGAUUUUGUAAUGGAACCAGUGUAUUUUGGUUUUACAAAAUGGGGAAAUUAUGACACUUUUUAAUGAAAAUGGCUGUAGUUGUGCUGUGUUUACUGUUGCUCUUGCAAUUUCCGCUAAUUUUUGCUUCUCGGCUGCUGGGACAUAAAGAAGCUUGUGGAAUUUACCGAGUUGACUAUUCAGAUGAUCUAAAUCGCCAAGUAUUUUAUGUAAAUGGCAUAUUAGCAGAUAAAGAUUUAUUCUGCAAAGCCCUCAAAUUUGAUCAUGCAGAGCGUUGCGUUAUCCAAAAUGUUGGGUUUCAAUAUUGUGGAUUGGACGUAUUGAUUGAUG